UACAGAGGGGGCAAGCGUUGUUCGGAAUUACUGGGCGUAAAGGGCGCGUAGGCGGCCUGUUAAGUCGAACGUGAAAUCCCUGGGCUCAACCCAGGAACUGCGUCCGAUACUGGCAGGCUUGAAUUCGGGAGAGGGAUGCGGAAUUCCAGGUGUAGCGGUGAAAUGCGUAGAUAUCUGGAGGAACACCGGUGGCGAAGGCGGCAUCCUGGACCGAUAUUGACGCUGAUGCGCGAAAGCCAGGGGAGCAAACGGG
rnacentral:rRNA from 1 species